rnacentral:rRNA from 1 species
AGACCCGAAACCCGGUGAUCUAGCCAUGGGCAGGUUGAAGGUUGGGUAACACUAACUGGAGGACCGAACCGACUAAUGUUGAAAAAUUAGCGGAUGACCUGUGGCUGGGGGUGAAAGGCCAAUCAAACCGGGAGAUAGCUGGUUCUCCCCGAAAGCUAUUUAGGUAGCGCCUCGUGAAUUCAUCUCCGGGGGUAGAGCACUGUUUCGGCUAGGGGGCCAUCCCGGCUUACCAACCCGAUGCAAACUGCGAAUACCGGAGAAUGUUAUCACGGGAGACACACGGCGGGUGCUAACGUCCGUCGUGAAGAGGGAAACAACCCAGACCGCCAGCUAAGGUCCCAAAGUCAUGGUUAAGUGGGAAACGAUGUGGGAAGGCCCAGACAGCCAGGAUGUUGGCUUAGAAGCAGCCAUCAUUUAAAGAAAGCGUAAUAGCUCACUGGUCGAGUCGGCCUGCGCGGAAGAUGUAACGGGGCUAAACCAUGCACCGAAGCUGCGGCAGCGACGCUGAUGCGUUGUUGGGUAGGGGAGCGUUCUGUAAGCCUGCGAAGGUGGCCUGUGAGGGUUGCUGGAGGUAUCAGAAGUGCGAAUGCUGACAUAAGUAACGAUAAAGCGGGUGAAAAGCCCGCUCGCCGGAAGACCAAGGGUUCCUGUCCAACGUUAAUCGGGGCAGGGUGAGUCGACCCCUAAGGCGAGGCCGAAAGGCGUAGUCGAUGGGAAACGGGUUAAUAUUCCCGUACUUGGUGUUACUGCGAAGGGGGGACGGAGAAGGCUAUGUUGGCCGGGCGACGGUUGUCCCGGUUUAAGCGUGUAGGUGUGUGUUCCAGGUAAAUCCGGUUCACUUUAACACUGAGGCGUGACGACGAGGCACUACGGUGCUGAAGCAACAAAUGCCCUGCUUCCAGGAAAAGCCUCUAAGCAUCAGGUAACAUCAAAUCGUACCCCAAACCGACACAGGUGGUCAGGUAGAGAAUACCAAGGCGCUUGAGAGAACUCGGGUGAAGGAACUAGGCAAAAUGGUGCCGUAACUUCGGGAGAAGGCACGCUGACACGUAGGUGAAGUGAUUUACUCACGGAGCUGAAGUCAGUCGAAGAUACCAGCUGGCUGCAACUGUUUAUUAAAAACACAGCACUGUGCAAACACGAAAGUGGACGUAUACGGUGUGACGCCUGCCCGGUGCCGGAAGGUUAAUUGAUGGGGUCAGCGCAAGCGAAGCUCCUGAUCGAAGCCCCGGUAAACGGCGGCCGUAACUAUAACGGUCCUAAGGUAGCGAAAUUCCUUGUCGGGUAAGUUCCGACCUGCACGAAUGGCGUAAUGAUGGCCAGGCUGUCUCCACCCGAGACUCAGUGAAAUUGAACUCGCUGUGAAGAUGCAGUGUACCCGCGGCAAGACGGAAAGACCCCGUGAACCUUUACUAUAGCUUGACACUGAACAUUGAGCCUUGAUGUGUAGGAUAGGUGGGAGGCUUUGAAGCGUGGACGCCAGUCUGCGUGGAGCCGACCUUGAAAUACCACCCUUUAAUGUUUGAUGUUCUAACGUGGACCCGUUACCCGGGUUGCGGACAGUGUCUGGUGGGUAGUUUGACUGGGGCGGUCUCCUCCUAAAGAGUAACGGAGGAGCACGAAGGUUGGCUAAUCCUGGUCGGACAUCAGGAGGUUAGUGCAAUGGCAUAAGCCAGCUUGACUGCGAGCGUGACGGCGCGAGCAGGUGCGAAAGCAGGUCAUAGUGAUCCGGUGGUUCUGAAUGGAAGGGCCAUCGCUCAACGGAUAAAAGGUACUCCGGGGAUAACAGGCUGAUACCGCCCAAGAGUUCAUAUCGACGGCGGUGUUUGGCACCUCGAUGUCGGCUCAUCACAUCCUGGGGCUGAAGUAGGUCCCAAGGGUAUGGCUGUUCGCCAUUUAAAGUGGUACGCGAGCUGGGUUUAGAACGUCGUGAGACAGUUCGGUCCCUAUCUGCCGUGGGCGCUGGAGAACUGAGGGGGGCUGCUCCUAGUACGAGAGGACCGGAGUGGACGCAUCACUGGUGUUCGGGUUGUCAUGCCAAUGGCACUGCCCGGUAGCUAAAUGCGGAAGAGAUAAGUGCUGAAAGCAUCUAAGCACGAAACUUGCCCCGAGAUGAGUUCUCCCUGAGACUUAGAGUCUCCUGAAGGAACGUUGAAGACGACGACGUUGAUAGGCCGGGUGUGUAAGCGCAGCGAUGCGUUGAGCUAACCGGUACUAAUGAACCGUGAGGCUUAACCUU